ensembl:lncRNA
CAGUCACCAACAUCAGGGAAAGAAAAGUAUCCAGAAACUACAUGUACUGGUACUAUGCACUGUGGAAGGGAGAAAAUCAAAUAGAGAAGAAUCUGAACUUUAAAAAGAUGCAGAAGUGCUGGAAGCAGGCAGCUCCUCUGACAGCUCUGUGGUCCCAGCUUCCAGUUUGAUUCAUGGCCGGCGCUGAGACACAGGAAGUUCGUGUCUGCUGUAAUCUAAACACCAUGAAAACGGAACAGAAGAAACAGUGCAGAAAGACACAGUAAUCUGGAUUGUCCCUCAAUUCAACAGCAAUAAAAUCUGGACUUAGUGUUUAGCUGGAAAUUAAGACAGUGUUCACUGCUCCAGAAACAGCCACUGGGGGAAAGGGACUAUUUAAGCAACAACAACCGGAAGGUAUAUUUAGCUGUCCAUACUCCUCAUUGAAGAGGAAACCACCCUCUACUGUUAUUAUUACACUGUGCAAACAAAGAAAAGGGGACAAAAUCUUGUCUUUAAUCCAAAGCAAGAAUUUACCAAAGGGAAGAGGAGAGGAAUCCAGAGCAACAAGUCUGAUCCUUAAAGCAUCUCUUUUUAGCAAGAAGGGUAUGUGAAAAGACUGCUCAAGGGGUGAAUCAACUUGACAUCCUCCAUAUGCUAUUGACUUGUCGAAUCCCAAAUUCUUUAAUCUGGUAUAAAAAUAGCAUUUUAAAACUGACUCAUGUUGGAGAGGUCCAGCUGCAUCCAAGUCAAUAAAUCCUCAGAGACAGAAGAAUGCAUAUUAACCAGAUAAGAGGAUGGUACACAAGGCAGAGAGUUGGAGGGGACUUCUCUGACAAGUCAGCUCUCCUUGAGUAUUAGUUAUCUAUUACAAAGAAGAAACUUUCCUGAAACAAAAAGCUUACAUAACAAUGGAUAUUUAUUAUCAUCUAUCAUUUCUGUGAGUCAUGAAUUUGGGAGCAGCUUAGGUAAGUGGUCUGGCUUGGCUUUUCUCAUAAGGUUGCUAUCAAAAUAUUGGCCUGGGCUACAGUCAUCAGAAGUUUAUCUAGGGCUGGAGACUCUGCUUCCAAGAUGGUGUACUCACAUGGCUGUUGGCAAGAGCCUCUAUUCCUCACCAUGUGAGACUCUUCAUAGAGCCGCUUGACAUGGUAUCCUUGUGACAUGGCAGUUGGCUCACCCCAGGUUGACCAAAAUAUUAUAUAAGACACAAGCUACACGACCAAGACCUCUGAGAUCUGGAAGAGAGUCCAGGUAGACCAGAAGGUGUUUCCAUGACUCACUGCCUGGAGCAGCACUCUUUUUUUUCAUACAAUUUUUUAAAUUGGAAUAUAAUGCUUUACUUUGUUGUGUUGAGCAUCACAGCAGCUCCCACCUUUUCAUAAUAAAAGAAUCACACAACUCCGU